GGCUAAAGUAAUACAGGCCUUGCACAGCCCCCUGCAAAGAUGAGCUUGGUUUAAUGGAGCACUCAAUCAGCAUUGGCUGUGUAUUAUCUAAAUACAGGAGUUCUGCAAAGGAGCCCACAGACUAAGGAUUUCAAAAGUCAUGACUGGAUUCUUCACACAUGUAGCAGAGGAAUCUCUUGUCAGCUCCAAGAGACACAAGGGCAAGCAGUUGGCAGCCAGAAGCUGAACUGUCAUGACCCUUGAAAUGAAGAAUGGCUGGAAAGACAGUGGCUGAAAUGAAGAGUGGCUGGCUGUAUUGGC